UACGUAGGGACCAAGCGUUGUCCGGAAUCAUUGGGCGUAAAGAGCGUGUAGGCGGCCUGUUAAGUCUUGCGUGAAAUCUCGGGGCUCAACCCCGAGCGGUCGUGAGAAACUGGCAGGCUAGAUUGCGGGAGAGGAGAGUGGAAUUCCUGGUGUAGCGGUGAAAUGCGCAGAUAUCAGGAAGAACACCUGUGGCGAAAGCGGCGCACUGGACCACAACUGACGCUGAGGCGCGAAAGCUAGGGGAGCAAACAGG
rnacentral:rRNA from 1 species